GCGUUGUCCAAAUUUUCUCAMGGUUCCGUUCAAAAUUCAAAAUAUACAGAGGAAGUGAAAUUAUGCUGCAUUCAGAACAACUGGGAAAUCGAAAAAACACGAGRUUAAAUCAUGRCGUCAGUGAUCUUUAKGUCGUAAAGUCUGAGCUCUAGGGAGAGACCUGAGUUCCCGAAAUUCAUGACCAUUCAAAUCGAUUUUUCCCAGUCGGAACGAUUCUUUUCUCCGAGUUCCCAGGUGUAUUGAACGUACUGAAGUAGGAAGUCUGAGAUUUCCGAAUUUCCAGUUGUUUUGAACGCGACAUGAGCAACCAGCAGGAAAAAGGACAAGACGUAGUGUUAUUGAACUAUGGCAAAACAAAAAUAGUUGUAAAUGAAAUAUAUAGCUAUUUACUAAACRGGGUAAGAUCUCUUUGAUAUAACGUUAGCCUAGUACAAUUUGUAAACCCAGCUUUGUAGUAACGUUAACUAGCUACUAUGGCUAAUAAUGCUAACGUUAGCUAGCUGUUUUAUGUUGUGUAGCUAACUUGCUACUGAAGYUAGCUAGUUAAGUGCUUUUGCAAAAAUGCUAUAAUAUCGGAGAGACCGCAAGGUUUACAAAUAUCCGCUGUCGAAAACCAAAUGCAAGUCUAAAAUCAAGUGGAGAAUGUCUUGCUUUUUUUUUUUUACAGUGGACAAAUUGCCUGAUUGAGCUGAUGAGAAGGUAAUUCACUAAGGCUACAGUUAAACGGCCCAACAGCCCCUGCCAACAGUGGUCUAAACAGUCGCCUUGGGAUCUUUGAUGAGAACAAGGCUGCCAGUGCUGGACCCUCUGAACCAAAGUUGGAAUCUUGGAUGGCCCCACCCCCAUCGAGAUCUAAGGAGAAUGAGAAAUGKAGCAACGCAAAGAUGCCUAUGAAGUCCAGGUUUGGUCACAGUGUUGUGGCUCCGCCCAGCAAGCCAAACUUCCAGCCCUUUGUGGAGGAGUCGGAUCAGCCUCCAGCCAUGACACUGUAAGAUCAACCCAGCAGUGAAUUCGGUGUUGUCUGCACAAAAGCCCUGCAGGGAUGAGACUCCUCUGAAGUGACUGCAGCAACAGCAACAUCAGCAGCAGGAAGAGGGGAAAGCUCAGAAGCAGAGCAUGUAUUGCAAGGACCUGUUGCUCAGUGUCGCCUCCGAGUUCUGCUUUUAGGAACUGAGGACAGAAAGCUACCACCAGAAGAAGGCCUUGGAGUCAGGGGGCAGUGUCAAGGAAGAGCAAGGCGGCUCUGGUCUUCCAAACUGACACCUUUCCACCUGGACAUUGACAUGACAUUUCCAUGUUCAGAUUGUUUUGUAUAUAGAAGGUAGCAGACUGUCAGUAUCAUCAGUUAUGUCUUUGUUGUCUUUUGUCAUGUAUGUAUUUUACUGUUUGUGAUGUGUAUAUAUAAACUGCAGUUGGUACGACAUAGGUCUCACCAGUCAUAGCCAUAGAUCACUAUCUAGGCUCUGGGCCACACAGUAUCCCAGAGGGAAAAAUCAUCUAAUGUAAUUGGAUUGAAAAGAGUUGUGUGAGAAAAUGGUGCUAUGAUUUGAGAACUGAAAUACUGGUGGUUGUUGUUACUGCAUAUCCUUGGAUAUUCUGCAAUAAUUGGCAGUUGAGACUGUUCUGUAUUUUUUUUUUUCAUGGCAAUUCACUACAAAACCGUAUUCUACAUUUUACAUUCAUUCCACUAAUCCAUUAUGUUUGGAAAAGGGCUUUAGAUAACAUGCCAUGUUCCGUCUGGUUCCUCUCUCCAUUAUUUCUUUGUCUUCUUCACGUUACCUCUUAGGAAUUAAACUUUCAGUACACCACGUGGUGAAGGCAGGGUGUACCAGGGUGUACUUGUCCAUGACAAGGCUCAAUUCACAUUAUAGCUGUCACUGCUGUAUAUAUUGGUAAAAAUGUCCCCCCAAGGCCAUGUGGUGAUAGUGUUAAAUAAAUGUGAAAUAAUG